rnacentral:rRNA from 1 species
UACGGGGGGAGCAAGCGUUGUUCGGAUUUACUGGGCGUAAAGGGCGCGUAGGCGGCACCGCAAGUCGACUGUGAAAUCUCCGGGCUUAACCCGGAAAGGUCAGCCGAUACUGCGGGGCUAGAGUGCAGAAGGGGCAACUGGAAUUCUCGGUGUAGUGGUGAAAUGCGUAGAUAUCGAGAGGAACACCUGCGGCGAAGGCGGGUUGCUGGGCUGACACUGACGCUGAUGCGCGAAAGCUAGGGGAGCAAACGGG